ACCAGUUGCUGAGUUGCUUGAUUUGGAUCUGAAAGAGGGUUGUCGGCUGGAUUGCUUAGGCAAGCUACAUACACAAUAGCACGACUUGGGUCAUUUAGGAAUAUAAUCUUAUUUGUUAGACGUUCACUUCUCUUGCUGCAGAUAAGAACUUGCUUCAUCAGGUAUAAUUUGUAUUAAUUCAACUUAUAACUCCUCAGAACCCGCUCUGCUGUAAGAUAUUACGGUGCAUGACGGUUCCCAGUAGGUUAAGUUGUAAGUUGUUACAUAAAGUUGGUUGGAUAUCUUUUAUUUUUAUAAAUGUUGUCAAUAGUUAGUUGGAUGAUGAAUUAGGUGUAUAAAUGUGUGCUUACCUACUGUCUUGCUUAAUUUAUAUUUAUAUUUCUUCAUUUAUAUUCUUUUGUAUUAAUUCAACUUGUAACUCCUCAGAACCCGCUCUGCCGUAAGAUAUUACGGUGCAUGACGGUUCCCAGUAGGUUAAGUUGCAAGUUGUUACAUAAGGUUGGUUGAAUAUCUUUUAUUUUUAUAAAUGUUGUCAAUAGUUAGUUGGAUGAUGAAUUAGGUGUAUAAAUGUGUGCCUACCUACAGGUGAUAUCCAAUGGACUCUAGGGAGUGGAUUACUCUACAUUACCCGGACCCACAAUUUAUAGAUGGUAUGAUGAGCUUUGUGAAGUUCGUAAAAGAACAUCUUCCUGGUAGAGAAACAAUUCAUUGUCCAUGUACCAGAUGUAGAUGUUUACGUUUACCUUGCACAAUCGAUGAUGUGGUGAUAGAUCUGAUUAAAUAUGGAUUUAAUCCAACAUAUAGGGUGUGGAAC